ACCUUGGGCGAUGUGGUCAGCACGUUUGGCUCUUGCCCGGGAGUCUGGGGUUCAAUUCCCCGCCAGGGCC